UACGAAGGGGACUAGCGUUGUUCGGAAUUACUGGGCGUAAAGCGCGUGUAGGUGGAUUGGUGUGUCAGAUGUGAAAUCCCUGGGCUCAACCCAGGAACUGCACCUGAAACUACCAGUCUUGAGUGGUGGAGAGGGAAGUGGAAUUCCUGGUGUAGAGGUGAAAUUCGUAGAUAUCAGGAGGAACACCAGUGGCGAAGGCGGCUUCCUGGACACCAACUGACGCUGAGACGCGAAAGCGUGGGGAGCAAACAGG
rnacentral:rRNA from 1 species